rnacentral:rRNA from 1 species
GACGAACGCUGGCGGCGUGCUUAACACAUGCAAGUCGAACGCUGAAGCCCUUCGGGGUGGAUGAGUGGCGAACGGGUGAGUAACACGUGGGUAAUCUGCCCUGCACUCUGGGAUAAGCCUUGGAAACGGGGUCUAAUACCGGAUAGGACACAUCGCCGCAUGGUGUGUGUGUGGAAAGUUCCGGCGGUGCAGGUUGAGCCCGCGGCCUAUCAGCUUGUUGGUGGGGUGAUGGCCUACCAAGGCGACGACGGGUAGCCGGCCUGAGAGGGUGACCGGCCACACUGGGACUGAGACACGGCCCAGACUCCUACGGGAGGCAGCAGUGGGGAAUCUUGCGCAAUGGGCGAAAGCCUGACGCAGCAACGCCGCGUGGGGGAUGACGGCCUUCGGGUUGUAAACCUCUUUCGACCGGGACGAAGGAUUCGUUUGACGGUACCGGUAGAAGAAGCACCGGCUAACUACGUGCCAGCCGCCGCAGUAACAC